UCUUAGAAGGACCUAUACAUUGAAAACCCAUUGCCUGCUGGCAUGACCAACUGGAUAACUCAUAACUGUAUCGGUUCUCCCUUCUUCCUAUUUCACUUCUCUGUCCUUGUCUUUGACUCCCUAAGCCCCAAUAAACAAUCCCAAACAAACAAGUCUCACAAAGGCAUUUGAGGGCAAGCCAAUGAAUUGAUCAGGGUCCUAAAGGGAAACAGAAACCAGGCUAAAAAUCUGAAGAGAGAAAAUGUAACAAAGAAAGUUUAGCUUUUUAACAGAGGAUUAACUACAAAGGAGAAAGAGAUAAAGGUAAAAACCAUGAGUACAUCAGAUACAGGAAGCAGCCGGCAACUUCGAGAGCUAAGACAAAGUGUCUAAAGGAGGAAGAAAUUUGGAAGAUGUCUCUCUCCCAAGCUGAGAGUCAAACCUCAUUAACAAGAGCGAGGCCAUGAGCCCUGGACGGCUGAGGAGUCGGCCAGAGCACCGCUUCCUACAGGCAGCUUCCCACAGGCCAGCCCUGCUGGGGGCUCUGAGACGCCAGGAAGACUCUGUGAAGCUGUGGCUGGGGGGUUCUGGAGAGACCCUCCAGGAAGCACCGCUGCUGCUGGCUAAACUGGCCAGAAAGUCAGGGUAUAGUCAAACUCACCCAAAAGCACCUUUUUCCCAACAAAGCUUCACGUCGCACCAACUGACCAAGGAAAAUGUCUGCAUGUUCCCACUCCAGCUGUACAAGGCAGGGCAACGGUGGUGGGCUGAAAAGAAGCAAGGCCGUAAGUGGUUAAGCAGCACAAGGCAAAGGCCCAAUCUACUAACAAAGGGCAAACCUCGUUCUUCCCCCCAGGGAAUUUACCAAAACCGGCAGGACAGAGAGGCUCAGGCCUGGGCCUGUUUCCUUCCGGUAUCCACCCAAACCAGAUCCUCUUUUCUUCUAUCUUCCCAGCUUCCAGCCUUCCUUGCUUGCAGGACUCGCAUCUGCCACUCACAGGCCGGGCCAGCAGAUGAGCUUCUCCACCAGACACAGGCAUCCAACAUCUCCCUUUGUCUCCCACCUUCACUUAGAACGAACUCUUCACGUAAGGUGUUACCCAGAUUCUCUGAGCCCAAAACACCUAGGCGGUCUUGAAACUGACAGUAAUCAACAAGCCCACAACACCUGUAACCAGCCUUCUCUGUCCAAGCUCACUUGAAUUGUUUUCACAGAAAGCUACCCGUCCUCCUAGCAGCACUAACGUUAUGUUUCCCUGAGCUAUUUUUCAGAGCCUUGGAGUCAGCAGCAUCCAGUUCCAGCGCCCGCCAGUUAAGACGGGUGAGGACCAUGGACCCUCCAACUACAGGGCAUAAGCAAGUGUCUGCUCCUCUACCUUUUGACGUCAGAGGACUGAGAAAUGCCAUGCUCGGAAUAUGCUGGAGCCAGGCAUCUGUAGGCAAGUUGCACCUGUGCAGGAUGACUGUCUCACCUUUUUCCUAUCUCCAAUUACCUUUCUCCAAGUUCCCCACACCUCAACUUUAUCGCCUAAAUGUCCUGAGCCUGCAGGAAGGUGGAUCUGAGGUCUCUCAGCUCCUCACCUGGCUGCCUUGUGAAGAAACCUUCUCUGCUGCAAACCUCUCUGUCUCAGCGUUUGGCUUGCUGCGCGUUAGGAAAACAAGUCUGGUUCAGUUAACAGUCUCAUCCUGUCAACUUCUUUCUCAUUCAAUAAAGUCAUCAAAAUAAUUGAUGGACUUUGGAAUAGUGACCUCAAGUGAUGAAAACGCUGCCAAAGUCCUGUUAUGGAGAACAUUCGUUUUGGAGUUAGACAAACCAGUGCUAAAACUCUGGCUCCGGCAUCUGCCGAUUGUGUGUUCUUCAUAUAGAGAUUUUUAACCUUACUCUUCUGUAAAUUGGAGAUGUUUUGUUUUGUAAGGUUAUUUUAAGAAUUAUGAAAACAAGAUGCAUUUGUUCACCCAACAAAUAUUUAUUGAGCACAGCUACAUGCCAGACAUUUUCCUAAACACCAAAAGGCAAGGAAAACCAACCUAAGAAAAAAGAAACCAUCAGAGGAUGCUUCUGAAUCCACUCCCACUUUUUGUUUAAAGAUACUAUGUUCCAAUUUUAAAGAAGUAAAAUCUCCUAUCUUUGUAGAUUCUGUGCCAUAGAUUACUUUCCCCCACAUAUCCCACCCUCCUUCUUGGAAAUGCUGUGUGUGUUGUUAGAAAACCCACGUAUAAACUUUAAAACGUUUGCUUUUCAGUUAGAUGUGAAGAAUGAGAAAACACAAACAACUAGACUGUGCCCUCUGAAGAUGUCUCUGGCCCAAGUGUGAACAAAAAUAAAGGGUUCCUGCCAUCCCUAGGCAUGCCCAGCAAUGUACUGAUGACCUUCAGCUCCUACAGGGUAUCUAUGGUUUCCUGAGGCCAUUGAAGUGCUAUGGGGUUUUCCAUAGCACUUUCCAGGCAAGAUUACUGGAGUGGGUUGACGUUUCCUUCUCCAGUGGAUCUUCCUGACCCAGGGAUCGAACCCCAGUCUCCUGUGCUGCAGGCAGCCUCCUGAAUUGCAGGUGGAUUCCUGACCAACUGAGCCACCCGGGAUACCCUGCUGCUGCUGCUGCUGCUGCUGCUAAGUCGCUUCAGUCGUGUCUGACUCUAUGCGACCCCAUACACCAGGCUCCCCUGUCCCUGGAAUUCUCCAGGCAAGAACACUGGAGUGGGUUGCCAUUUCCUCCUCCAAUGCAUGAAAGUGAAAAAUGAAAGUGAAGUCGCUCAGUCGUGUCUGACUCUUAGCGACCCCAUGGACUGCAGCUCACCAGGCUCCUCCGUCCAUGGGAUUUUCCAGACAAGAGUACUGGAGUGGGAUGCCAUCACCUUCUCCGCCGGGAUACCCUACUGAUCACCAAAUCAACUCCAUUUUAGCAUCACAUGGAGCUAGGAUGGAGGAACAAGAACUGCUUGGGAGACAGAAAUGGGAAAGGACCUGGUUAACAGGCAACAAGUGAAGCUCUAAGUCGCCUCUCUCUAACAGAGUGUAAGAUGAGGAGCCACAUUCCCACACUGAUAGAGGAUAUUUUCUUGAAUAUAAUCUACACUCUUUGUGUUUUAAACCAUACAUAUUUGUUAUUCCAUUCGUUUAAUAUGAACAUAAUACAGUCAUCAAUAUAAAAUGCAGAAAUACACAUAUAUAUAAUAU
ensembl:lncRNA